UACAGAGGGUGCAAGCGUUGUUCGGAAUUACUGGGCGUAAAGGGCGCGUAGGCGGCCCGCUAAGUCGAACGUGAAAUCCCCGAGCUCAACUCGGGAACUGCGUCCGAUACUGGCGGGCUUGAAUCCGGGAGAGGGAUGCGGAAUUCCAGGUGUAGCGGUGAAAUGCGUAGAUAUCUGGAGGAACACCGGUGGCGAAGGCGGCAUCCUGGACCGGCAUUGACGCUGAGGCGCGAAAGCGUGGGGAGCAAACAGG
rnacentral:rRNA from 1 species